UACGGAGGGUGCGAGCGUUGUCCGGAAUCAUUGGGCGUAAAGGGCGCGUAGGUGGCGGGACAAGCGUGCGGUGAAAGCUCGGGGCUCAACCCCGAGUCGGCCGUGGGAACUGUUUUGCUAGAGCACUGUAGAGGCAGGCGGAAUUCCGGGUGUAGCGGUGGAAUGCGUAGAGAUCCGGAAGAACACCGGUGGCGAAGGCGGCCUGCUGGGCAGUGGCUGACACUGAGGCGCGACAGCGUGGGGAGCAAACAGG
rnacentral:rRNA from 1 species